rnacentral:rRNA from 1 species
UGGGGAAUAUUGCACAAUGGGCGCAAGCCUGAUGCAGCGACGCAGCGUGAGGGAUGACGGCCUUCGGGUUGUAAACCUCUUUUACCAGGGACGAAGCGCAAGUGACGGUACCUGGAGAAGAAGCACCGGCCAACUACGUGCCAGCAGCCGCGGUAAUACGUAGGGUGCGAGCGUUGUCCGGAAUUACUGGGCGUAAAGAGCUCGUAGGCGGUUUGUCGCGUCGUCUGUGAAAUUCUGCAACUCAAUUGGAGGCGUGCAGGCGAUACGGGCAGACUGGAGUAGUGCGGGGGGGACUGGAAUUCCUGGUGUGGCGGUGAAAUGCGCAGUUAUCAGGAGGAACACCGGUGGCGAAGGCGGGUCUCUGGGUGGUAACUGACGCUGAGGGGCGAAAGCGUGGGUAGCGAACAGG